rnacentral:rRNA from 1 species
AUUGAACGCUGGCGGCAUGCCUUACACAUGCAAGUCGAACGGUAACGGGCCUUCGGGUGCCGACGAGUGGCGAACGGGUGAGUAAUGUAUCGGAACGUACCUUUCAGUGGGGGAUAACGUAGCGAAAGUUACGCUAAUACCGCAUAUUCUGUGCGCAGGAAAGCAGGGGAUCGCAAGACCUUGCGCUGAUUGAGCGGCCGAUGUCAGAUUAGCUAGUUGGUGAGGUAAAGGCUCACCAAGGCGACGAUCUGUAGCGGGUCUGAGAGGAUGAUCCGCCACACUGGAACUGAGACACGGUCCAGACUCCUACGGGAGGCAGCAGUGGGGAAUUUUGGACAAUGGGGGCAACCCUGAUCCAGCCAUGCCGCGUGAGUGAAGAAGGCCUUCGGGUUGUAAAGCUCUUUCGGCCGGGAAGAAAUCGCACGGGCUAAUACCCUGUGUGGAUGACGGUACCGGAGUAAGAAGCACCGGCUAACUACGUGCCAGCCGCCGCAGUAACAC